GGAGGAGUCGCCUAGUGGCCUAUGGCGCUUGCUUGGAGAGCAGGUUUAUCCGUAAGGAUAUCGGGAGUUCGAAUCUCCCCUCCUCCGCCA
rnacentral:tRNA from 1 species